GAGGUGUGGAUAGGGGAGAAAUUCCAAUCGAACCCGGAGAUAGCUGGUUCUCCUCGAAAUAGCUUUAGGGCUAGCCUCAUAUAAGUCUUGCGGAGGUAGAGCACUGAAUUUCCUAGGGGGCGUCAAAGCUUACCGAAGAAUAUCAAACUCCGAAUGCCGUGUAGAUGAUGUAUGGGAGUCAGACUGUACGAGAUAAGUUGGACAGUCAAAAGGGAAAGAGCCCAGACCUGCAGCUAAGGUCCCAAAAUGUGUGUUAAGUGGAAAAGGAUGUGGGAUUUCAAAGACAACUAGGAUGUUGGCUUAGAAGCAGCCAUACAUUCAAAGAGUGCGUAACAGCUCACUAGUCGAGAAAACCUGCGCCGAAAAUUUAACGGGGCUAAAACACGACACCGAAGCUACGGAUUUCCUACUAGGUAGGAAGUGGUAGAGGAGCAUCCUGCAAGGACGAAGCCAAAGUGAGAACGAUGGUGGACGAAACAGGAGAGAGAAUGCCGGAAUGAGUAGCGAGAUAGAAGUAAGAAACUUCUAGGCCGAAUAUCUAAGGUUUCCUGGGUAAAGCUAAUCUUCCCAGGGUUAGUCGGGGCCUAAGGCGAGGACGAGAGUCGUAGUCGAUGGAUAACAGGUUGAUAUUCCUGUACUACGUAUCAUCAGAACUGUGGGGACGCAGGAGGAUAGGAAAACCGGGGAAUGGAAAAACCCGGCCAAGUACAAAGUCAAGGGAGAUAGGCAAAUCCGUCUCUUGAUGAUGAAGUGCGAUGGGGACUGAACAAAAGUAGGGAAGUUUCCGAAUCCACACUGUCGAGAAAAGCCGCUAUUGUGUGAUACGUACCCGUACCGUAAACCGACACAGGUAGAUGAGGAGAAAAUCCACAGGCCGACGGGAGAAGUGUUGUUAAGGAACUCGGCAAAAUGACCCCGUAACUUAGGGAUAAGGGGAGCCAACGCAAGUUGGUCACAGAAAAGAGGCUCAAGCGACUGUUUAGCAAAAACACAGGUCUAUGCGAAACCGUAAGGUGAUGUAUAUGGGCUGACACCUGCCCGGUGCUGGAAGGUCAAAAGGAGAGGUUAGCGUAAGCGAAGCUUUGAAUUCAAGCCCCAGUAAACGGCGGCCGUAACUAUAACGGUCCUAAGGUAGCGAAAUUCCUUGUCAGGUAAGUUCUGACCCGCACGAAAGGUGUAACGAUUUGAGCACUGUCUCGACAACACGCCCGGUGAAAUUGAAGAACCAGUGAAGAUACUGGUUACCCGCAACAGGACGGAAAGACCCCAUGGAGCUUUACUGCAGCUUAAUAUUGGGAUUCGGUAUUGUAUGUACAGGAUAGGAGGGAGACUAAGAAGCUAGCACGCCAGUGUUGGUGGAGUCGAUGGUGGGAUACCUCUCUUAUAAUACUGAAUUUCUAACCUACUUCCGUGAUCCGGAAGAGGGACAUUGUUAGGCGGGCAGUUUGACUGGGGCGGUCGAAGGGCUAGUAGACAAAGUUCCAUCAGGAGAUUAUACUUUUGCUGAUAAAGUGUUUCCGCUGAUGGUAAAAUACGGUGAAGAAUUGUAUACCGAAAAACAUGCUUCAUUUGGCAAGAACCAGGGAUACAAACUGAACGUUACAAUAGACCCAGACCUCGCAAGUUUCUUAAAGGGAUAUUAUAAGAGUGUACACAAAGUCAAUGGUGGUGAAUCCAAGCCACAACCGUUUAUAUCCCAAUCAAAUAAUGCUCAGAAUGAAAGAAUUGAUUUGGGAUUAUCGUCUGGAAUCCUAUGGGCAACUUGUAAUAUUGGCGCAUCGUCACCUUCCGAAAUUGGUGAUUUUUUUGCAUGGGGAGAAAAAGAGCCCAAGGAUGCAUACGGAUGGGAGACCUAUAAAUUGUGUCGAGGUUCAUACAAUUCAAUUUUCAAAUACACCGAAGCUGACGGAAAAAAUGUUCUGGAUUCUCAGGAUGAUGUUGCAAAAUCUAGGCUUGGUGGAGAAUGGAGGAUUCCGACCAAAGAGGACAUGAAAGAACUCGU
rnacentral:rRNA from 1 species